UACGUAGGGUCCAAGCGUUAAUCGGAAUUACUGGGCGUAAAGCGUGCGCAGGCGGCUUCGCAAGUCAGACGUGAAAUCCCCGGGCUUAACCUGGGAAUGGCGUUUGAAACUACGGAGCUGGAGUGUGGCAGAGGGAGGUAGAAUUCCACGUGUAGCGGUGAAAUGCGUAGAUAUGUGGAGGAAUACCGAUGGCGAAGGCAGCCUCCUGGGCCGACCCUGACGCUGAGGCGCGAAGGCGUGGGGAGCGAACGGG
rnacentral:rRNA from 1 species